CAAGAGAAAUUGUUGGAUUUUAAGGAAUCAAGCAAGUAAAGGUAUAGGUGGUGAGCCCCUUGGUAAGAGUAAGGAUAUCAUACCCGAUGAUCAAAAAUAGGAGUACUCCAUACUCUCAUUAAGCUUACUGCAGCGGGCGGGUUUUCAUGGACCAGCCUAUGAGAGGGGCACGAUAAACCCCAUUAUAUUUUACUUUGGUACGAGAGGCGGGGAUGGUAUCUCCUAAGGUAACGUUAGAGUUCACUUUACGCCGAACCACCACGUGAGGGUGAAACUCGUCCAAUGCCAAGGAACAGCUGUGCUUUUAAAUGUAAAAGAAUGAGUUUUAUACUCAUAUGUUAUUUUAACAGCCUUGACGGACUCAGUUGGAUCCCCGACGUAAGGUGUCACCGAGUGCAAAUCUUGGCACGAGCCAAGGUUUUACGAGAAUCAUAAGCCUUGUUGAUUUUUACG